UCCGAUUUAAGUCGGCAGUCUCGUUAGAGUGCCCCACUUAAGGCUGGCAACUAACGACAGAGGUUGCGCUCGUUGCGGGACUUAACCCAACAUCUCACGACACGAGCUGACGACAGCCAUGCAGCACCUGUCUCACGGUUCCCGAAGGCACCAAUCCAUCUCUGGAAAGUUCCGUGGAUGUCAAGACCAGGUAAGGUUCUUCGCGUUGCAUCGAAUUAAACCACAUACUCCACCGCUUGUGCGGGCCCCCGUCAAUUCCUUUGAGUUUCAGCCUUGCGGCCGUACUCCCCAGGCGGGGCACUUACUGCGUUAGCGACGGCACUCAGGGGGUCGCUCCCCCAAGCACCUAGUGCCCAUCGUUUACGGCGUGGACUAC
rnacentral:misc_RNA from 1 species